rnacentral:rRNA from 1 species
CGCUGGCGGCAGGCCUCAAACAUGCAAGUCUAGGGGGUGUAGCAAUACAUCACCGGCGGACGGGUGCGUAACACGUGGGAAUAUACCUUUUGGUUCGGAACAACGCAGGGAAACUUGCGCUAAUACCGUAUGUGCCCUUCGGGGGAAGGAUUUAUCGCCAUUGGAGUAGCCCGAGUUGGAUUAGGUAGUUGGUGGGGUAAAGGCCCACCAAGCCGACGAUCCAUAGCUGGUCUGAGAGGAUGAUCAGCCACACUGGGACUGAGACACGGCCCAGACUCCUACGGGAGGCAGCAGUAGGGAAUCUUGCGCAAUGGGCGAAAGCCUGACGCAGCCAUGCCGCGUGAAUGACGAAGGUCUUAGGAUUGUAAAAUUCUUUCACCGGGGAAGAUAAUGACGGUACCCGGAGAAGAAGCCCCGGCUAACUUCGUGCCAGCAGCCGCGGUAAUACGAAGGGGGCUAGCGUUGCUCGGAAUUACUGGGCGUAAAGGGGGCGUAGGCGGACAGUUUAGUCAGAGGUGAAAGCCCAGGGCUCAACCUUGGAAUUGCCUUUGAUACUGGCUGUCUUGAGUUCGGGAGAGGUGAGUGGAAUGCCGAGUGUAGAGGUGAAAUUCGUAGAUAUUCGGCGGAACACCAGUGGCGAAGGCGACUCACUGGCCCGAUACUGACGCUGAGGCGCGAAAGCGUGGGGAGCAAACAGGAUUAGAUACCCUGGUAGUCCACGCUGUAAACGAUGAGUGCUAGUUGUCGGCAUGCAUGCAUGUCGGUGACGCAGCUAACGCAUUAAGCACUCCGCCUGGGGAGUACGGUC